UAGUUCUAAUAAUACACCAUUGUUGGAAAGUUUUUCUUGCUCAAAAAUAUGCAAAGAAAAAUAUUAUAACAUUGCCCUUGAUAUUUCACUAAAGAAAGCAGUUUAUAUUU